GCUGGAUGUGGUGGCACACACCUAUAAUCCCAGAAACUCAGGAGGCUGAGACAGGAGGAUUGUGUGUUAAAAGCCAGCCUCAGCAAUAGUGAGGUGCUAAGCAAUUCAGUGAGACCCUGUCUCUA
rnacentral:sRNA from 1 species